CACGUAGGGUGCGAGCGUUGUCCGGAAUUAUUGGGCGUAAAGAGCUCGUAGGCGGUGUGUCGCGUCGGCCCGUGAAAACUUGGGCUUAACUCUGAGCGUGCGGUCGAUACGGGCAUCACUUGAGUUCGGCAGGGGAGACUGGAAUUCCUGGUGUAGCGGUGGAAUGCGCAGAUAUCAGGAGGAACACCGAUGGCGAAGGCAGGUCACUGGGCCGCAACUGACGCUGAGGAGCGAAAGCAUGGGGAGCGAACAGG
rnacentral:rRNA from 1 species